rnacentral:rRNA from 1 species
UACGUAGGGUGCGAGCGUUAAUCGGAAUUACUGGGCGUAAAGUGUGCGCAGGCGGCCGAGCAAGUCGAGUGUGAAAGCCCCCGGCUCAACUGGGGAGGGUCAUUCGAUACUGAUCGACUAGAAGGCAGGAGAGGGAAGCGGAAUUCCCGGUGUAGUGGUGAAAUGCGUAGAUAUCGGGAGGAACACCAGUGGCGAAGGCGGCUUCCUGGCCUGUUCUUGACGCUGAGGCGCGAAAGCUAGGGGAGCAAACGGG